GUGCUCACUUCAGUAGCACAUUUACCAAAAAAUUGAAAUGGUAUGGAGAAAAUUACUGUGGCCUCUGUACAAGGAUGACAGGCAAAUUCAUGAAGCAUUCCAUUUUUUU
ensembl:snRNA U6 U6 spliceosomal RNA